rnacentral:rRNA from 1 species
GUUUGAUCCUGGCUCAGAGCGAACGUUAGCGGCGCGCCUAACACAUGCAAGUCGCACGAGAAAGGGGGCAACCCCCGGUACAGUGGCGCACGGGUGAGUAACACGUGGGUGAUCUGCCCAGAAGAAGGGGAUAACCUCUCGAAAGGGGGGCUAAUACCGCAUAGGACCACCGGGGCUCUGGCUCUGUGGUGAAAGGGGGCCUCUGUUUACAAGCUCCUGCUUCUGGAUGAGCCCGCGUCCCAUCAGCUAGUUGGUAGGGUAAUGGCCUACCAAGGCUACGACGGGUAGCUGGUCUAAGAGGAUGGCCAGCCACACUGGAACUGAGACACGGUCCAGACUCCUACGGGAGGCAGCAGUGGGGAAUCUUGCGCAAUGGGCGAAAGCCUGACGCAGCGACGCCGCGUGGGUGACGAAGGCCUCGG